AUGUUUGACACUCCACCGACUUACGAUGAGCUAUGCAUCUUCGGCUGUCUUUGCUACCCUAGCAUUGCUUCCACUACUCCUCAUAAGCUAGCUCCUCGCUCAUUGGCAUGCAUUUUCCUCGGCUACCCACCCAACACCAAAGGCUAUCGCUGCUAUGAUCCUAUCUCACAUCGUGUGAUCACUUCACGACACGUUUACUUUGAUGAGAAGGUCUUUCCGUUUCAGCAGGUGCCUACGGAUGUUGCAUCGUCGCUGAUCCCUAGCGGUCCUUCGGCGAGCCUCUCUAGUGAUGGCCGCUCGAGAGCGUCUCUCGGGCCGCCUCCUGGAUUUGAGACUUCACCUCACGCCGCAGGUCGAGUCCCUCCCCGCACGGCUGCCUUUGUGGAUUCUCCCCUCCUUGGGUCGGUCACACCAACCUCGAUGCCCAUGGCGUCACCGGCGCCCUCGACGCCCUUCGCGUCAUCGGCGCCCUCCACGUCGGGUUCACCGGCGCCCUUCGUGUCGGCGCCCACGGCGUCUCCGGCGCCCACGGUGUCCAUCUCUACCAGUGUGGCCUCGCCCGGCGUCUCGUGUGCGAUGGGUUCUACAUCAGCAUCAUCCGUUGCCACCCCAGACCCACUGCCCCGCCCCAUUACUCGGUCUCGGGCUGGUGUCCACUGCCCGAGCUUGCGGUACAACAACAAUGAGUAUCUUCUCGCUGUGUCCACCUUCGAGCCGUCCCCUCUCCCAUCGUCAGCUCGAGCCGCCUCCGGGAUCCUCAUUGGUUCACUGCGAUGUAGGAAGAGUUCGACUCUCUCCAGCGGAACCGCACUUGGCAGCUGA
rnacentral:rRNA from 1 species